GACGAACGCUGGCGGCGUGCCUAAUACAUGCAAGUCGAGCGGAGUUAGAGAAGCUUGCUUCUCUAACUUAGCGGCGGACGGGUGAGUAACACGUGGGCAAUCUGCCCGUAAGACUGGGAUAACUCCGGGAAACCGGGGCUAAAUACCGGAUAAUCCUGACUCUCUCCUGAGAGUCAGUUGAAAGAUGGUUUCGGCUAUCACUUACGGAUGAGCCCGCGGCGCAUUAGCUAGUUGGUAGGGUGAUGGCCUACCAAGGCGACGAUGCGUAGCCGACCUGAGAGGGUGAUCGGCCACACUGGGACUGAGACACGGCCCAGACUCCUACGGGAGGCAGCAGUAGGGAAUCUUCCGCAAUGGACGAAAGUCUGACGGAGCAACGCCGCGUGAGUGAAGAAGGUUUUCGGAUCGUAAAACUCUGUUGUUAGGGAAGAACACGUACGAGAGUAACUGCUCGUACCUUGACGGUACCUAACCAGAAAGCCACGGCUAACUACGUG
rnacentral:rRNA from 1 species